AUACGAAAGGUGCAAGCGUUGUUCGGAUUUACUGGGCGUAAAGAGAUCGUAGGUGGUUUAUUAAGUCGGAUGUGAAAUCCCGGGGCUCAACCCCGGAACUGCAUUCGAUACUGGUAGACUAGAGUUUGGGAGGGGUAAGCGGAAUUCCGUGUGUAGCAGUGAAAUGCGUAGGUAUACGGAGGAACACCUGAGGCGAAGGCGGCUUACUGGACCAAUACUGACACUGAGGAUCGAAAGCGUGGGUAGCAAACAGGAUUAGAUACCCUAGUAGUCC
rnacentral:rRNA from 1 species